CUCACAGCAAGGGAACUCCCACUCCGGGCGUGCCUAACAACCAUCUGCAAAUGCAAAGCGAUUCCUGGAAGAGGCGAGCGCAGGACCUGCUUCUCCGGGACCCCAUCGUCUCCUAGAGGGUCCCCCCAAGCAGAACUGAGAGGUCUCCGCCGGACACUCAGAGCUGACGCUGGGCUCAGGCCGGUCAGAGCCGGGUCACCCCGCCCAGAUCCCCUCGGGCACCCGCUCGGGGGCCCCCCGGGGCUUCCAGGAAGAGUCCGGGACGGAAUCCCCCGCCCUGGGGGCGCAGAGCCCCCCUCGCUCCCCGGGGCCGGGAAGCAGGGGCGAGGGUGCGGGGAGCACUGGCUCCUGGUCGCCGCUGGGGCUCCCCGGGACCCCUCCGGCCCGCCCCCCCCCCGACCUCCGCGCCCCGGGCCGCCCCACCCGGGCUCCGACGGGCUCACCCUCGCACAUUUGAACCGAGGAGGCCGAGCGGCCGGGCGGGGCUCGCAGAUGCCAUUGGCUGCGGCGGCGGCGUGACAUCAGCGCGGAGGGCGCGGGAGGGAGGGCGCGGGAGGGGCCUGGGAGGGGAGUGUCCCGGAGGCUCGCCGCCCUGCGCGCCCGAGCAGAGGGAAGCCGACCCCGGCGCUGACAUGGGCCUCCAGCCCCGCGCCCGCCCGCAGCCCACGGAGGGGACAGCGCAGCCGCGCCGGCCGGGCGCCAGCAUCUCCGGGGACCCAGGGAAUCAGAACAUGGGGAGGUUCCUCUGAGCAGGAAGCUGGAAGGAGAUCCUGAGUGAGGAAGAGCCAUCCCUGAGAGCAGAUCUCUGAUGGGAAGUCAAUCCAAGUGAGUCUUGGUUCCAAGGGUCUUCCAUUAGCAGCCUCCCCAAUGCCAUCCCACCCCCGUCUUCCACGGGCACAUUCUUGACUGGGGAUACCUGAAUGGGCCGGGAGGCGUCACCUCAUUCAGAAAACCAUGUGUCUGAGGUCGGUCACACGGGUUCAAGUGGGUCGAAGUCACCAUUUAGUAGCUAUGAGAGUGAUCCGUGUGGGGUGAGCCUCUCACCAUCUGAGCCUGUUUCCCUUUCUGUAAAAUGGGCACAGUCUUGACACCGUCCUUGCAGGGAGAGGGGCACAAGUUUCCCAUGUCCUAGCACAAUGCCUGGCAUGCAGCAGACCCCAGGGGAUGACGGUGUUGGUGCGUC
rnacentral:lncRNA from 1 species